GAUGAAGCUUUGCCUAAUCUAGUCAUUGUGGAUUCAAUAGAAAACAUCUAGGUGGGGAGGAAAGGACCUUUAGAACAGAGGCGUGGAGGUUGAGAUCUUGGAGGAUGGUCUACCAGAGGGCGGCGAUGGUGGCCAUGUCGUCAUCAUCGCCAGCAGUCCUUGGCCAUUUCGUAUCUGAUUGAUCCGACCACAGGAGGAAAGGAAUAAUCAAAUCAGAUCUACAGCUACGAAAAUAACAUGAACAAACUUAUAUUUUAUAUAGUGCAUGACCUAAAUUUAUAGGCUAAUUCCAUUCUACCACUCAUAAUAAUUCUGAACUAAAUGCUAUAAACUCUAAUUAGAGCAACCACUUACAAACACUUUUUUUCUAAAAACGCCAGAUUGUAGACCAAUUAACAAUCUGAUUGAUAGUAACUAAGCAUCUCGCCCGGUUCAAUGUUAAUUUUCUAAAUGGUUGGUCUCUAACAAACAUGCCACUGAAUUUAGCAAUACAGUAUCUAAGACAUGCUACACCUGUCAAUUUUGUAUCUAAACACUGAAAAAACAAAUAAUACAACUAUCUACUAUAGAAAAAAGUCAAGGUAAUAGAAAUAUUUACCUUUUUCAAUUGGGAUUCCUAAAGAAGAAGUGAUAUUUGAGGAGGAAACAUGCUCCAAAAUUCAUCUGAAACCGAUGUAUGCAACUAGCCUCCCUAUGGAGCAGUUACAGCUAGGAUCCUACCCCUGCCCCUGAAUUUGUAACAAGGCAUGAUGUAGAAGCCAAAAGCAAUAACUAAAUCAUAAAAUACUUGCUGAAUUUGUAACAAGGCAUGAUGUAGAAGCCAAAAGCAAUCAGUACUCAUAAAAUACCUAUCAUUUUUAAUUUGAUUUUUUGAGGAAGUGGCCCUAGGCCCCUAGCUCAACUGGUUAGGUGGCCUCGAUGCGGUUGUGGAGGUCGAUG
rnacentral:lncRNA from 1 species